UUACAAUUAUCAUUAUUAUUAUUAUAAUUAUUACUAUUAGAAUUAAUAUUACUAUUAUAAUUAUAAUAUAAUUAUAAUAAUUAUUAUACUAUUAUUAUUGUUACUCACAUUUCCCCUUCUAGAAAGAAUCUGGGGAGUAAAAUUCUACUAAAGUAAUUUAAAAAUAAUUUUGUCGAGGAAAUUGGAAAAAUGGUAAAUGUGAAAAGCGGUAGGUGAGGUGAGGCUCAGAUCUGUAAUGUAUCAGGCAAGAGGGUGACACCGCCAUGGCUGCAACCAACAGUUGCAUGAAAAGGAAAGAAGAUUAGGUUAACCAAUCCAUCGAUCUCUCACAUACCCUCCGGGUUGCCCCGCCAAGAUACGGGUCACAUUCUCUCACUGCCCGAUUGGACUCAGAAAAAUUGAUUCAUCAUCACAGCCUCUUGAAUAUUUGUAGGAUCCGUUAUUUUAGGAAAGGAAGGAGUAUAUAUAUAUAUAGUAGUACAGCAGCAGAAGCUGAGUUCACACGCACGCACGCACAAAAGGGUUGUUGAUUUAACUAUCUGCAAAAAUGAAAUCAUAGGCCCAAUAAAUGAAGGAUCGGAAGAAGAUCACACAAAUUUAACAGAGGGGGCAACCACCCUUUGAAACAUCCCUUCCCUCUGGAGCCUCAUUCUUUUUUCUGAGUUUUAUAAACCCUAACCCUUUCCUCCAACAACUGUAUUUAUAGUGCCUGUGUUUUGCUUUUCUUCCCCGUUUUGACCUCCUGAUGGAGGCAUGACAUGAGGCGGCCAGAGCAAGAGAAUUUGGUUAGUUUUGUUUUUUUCACUACAAAAAAUACUGUACAAAAUAAUUUGUUUGAAUAUAAAUAUAUUACUCAUGGGUGGACCCAAUAUUUAUAAUCAUAUUAUGUGAGGUACGGGACGGACGGCAUAUAUGCUAUGCUAUGCUAUGCUAUCAAAUUCAAGGCUACUGGUCAAUAACAAAUCAUAUAAAGCCUCUGAAAAAUAAAAUACUUUGGUAGAGAAUUGUUAGCUUGUUUAAUUUUCCUUCUGUUUUUAACAAUACGAGGUAUGAACGAACACCCCAGUUCCGGUUGCCAUUUGAUCUCCACAAGUUCAAAAUCCAGGUGGGUACUGAAUUACAAUUCUCACUUUCUGUCCAGUCAAAAUAGCUUUGAUCCGGUUGAGAGAAGCUGUAAUUUGAGCUACUUUUUCUCGCCCACAAAUGCUUAGAACUGUCCAUUCUAGAAUCAUCAUUUUCAUCGGCUGUGUUGAUCAAUAAAAGAAUUCGCCUUUCAAGUUAAUUCGGCAUUUGGCUGGAUUGGAAAGGAAUGUAAUGGUAUGAAUUGAAUUGAAUUGAAUAGAAUUGAAGAAUGAAGAGUAUUAAUUUGGGAGAUCUGGCUAUGUAGGUAUGGGUUACCCCACUUACCCUUAAAUGAAGGGAUAAUUGACGAAAGUUGCUUAAUUUGGUUUUUAGUCAGAUCAAUGGGUAGAUGGGUUGGUGAGGUUUCUCCAAAUGGAUACAUAUUCAUCGAAUAUGUGAAGUUUCGUUACUCAGUGCAAUACUUUUCUCCAGUCAACUGCUAUUUGUUUUGUGUUAUGCAGUUUAUGAUAGAAAUACCAUCAAUAAAUUUUUGCAGAUCCCAACCAAUGAGAAUGGCUUCAAUUUGAAAUUUUCAAGAGAGGUAAUUGGUGGUGUAAGUUUGAUGGAGUUGUGGAUGAUGAGAGGUUUGGUGGGUUACUAGGAAUUGGGAAUAACAAUUUGAUUGUUGGCAGUGGUCCUUGGAGAGGAGAAGAUUAGGGAUUGGAGAUUAGAGAAUUGUAGAGAAGACUUUUGGAUCGUGGCUCUGAUACCAUUAACAAAGAAGAGAAGAUGGAAGAAUUAUAUUGUAUUCCACACUCUAUACUGAUACAAUUACAUGUAUAUAUAUUCACCAAUGAUACUCAAAACCAUCUAAACUAGGAAAGAUUACAGACAAAUAUAAACAGAAUAUUUGAACAGAUCUGUUGCACUAAUUAAGGUACUCAAAUUAUUCUUCCGAGUCAGUCGGCCUUUGUUCCCGGCUUUGGAUGGUUUGGAUGGGUUUGUAAUUUGUUGCACUAAUUAAUGUUUUUUUUUAUAUAAAAAAAUGUUAUCAACUUUAUUCAUCAAACUGCAAGUACAAUCCGUUAAUCAUGCGCAGUUGGUCAUAGUUGCCGUUUCAGACGAAGAAAAGUAAAAUCCCACGACUUUCGUUUAACAUUAAUUAGGAGUAUAACUAACUAUUCUUGUUAAGCUAACACCGAGAAGUUUUCAUAAAUACUACUCCCUCCGUUUCUAAUAUAAAUCGUUUUAAAAAAAUAUUUUUAUGUCUUAAUAUAAAUUGUUUAAAAAUUUCAAGUAAGCAUUAAUUACUUAGUUUUUAAUAUUAUUAUAAAUAUUAAAUAUAAUUUUAAUUUUCUCACUAUUUUCUGUCCAAUAAAUAACAAUCUCUUAUUUCAAAUAAUAUAGACAAUUGAUAUCAUAGUUAAUGUUAUAUAAUUAUUAUCUUAAUACUUAUGCACAAUCUUAAAACGACCCCUAUUAACAGAGGGAGUACUAAUUAAGUAGGACUUUGACGAGUAGUAUAAGAUUUAAAAGCUCCGAGUAUAAAAUAUCUUCAACUUUUACCACUAGGAAGUUGGAAAAUGAAUUAAGUUGAGCAAUGCCCUAUAGUUUCAAUAUAUAUACACUAGAAAUGCAUAAAUAUAGAUGUUAACAUCAAAAUCUUUUCACGCGCUUCAAUCACAUAACACGCGUCUAUAUCUUGCACAGUAAACACGACAACACCAAAAGCUUGACGGCUUUGACUGUCGGGGGAUAGUUCCGGCGUGAGAGUCAGUACAGGCGAUCACAAAGUUAACAAUGGAGGAUAAAAUCUCUAGUGUAUUGAGAGAGAGAGAAUUAUCAGUUAUUAGUGUGUAUACCUUUUUCUUGAAGACUUCCUUGCUAUGUUAUGCUCUCUAGCCCGGUUUACCGUGCCACCCACUACCUCUGACCCAGCCCGCUGAUCUGAUGGUUUCUGCCGACUGGGUACAGUCCACCCACUACCUGUAGUCACUGUUUGCUACCGUCGGCCGUCCAAGAAUCUCAUCCACAUUAAUGCAUGGCAGAUACAAUAGUCAACUGUCAUGUUUUUUUAUCAUUACCGGUCAAAGAUGGAGAUAUUUAAUAUUUAAUGGGUCAGCCCACUAAUCCGACCCGGUCUUAUAAGGACUCAACAGGAAUAAGAUGGUGACUAAGCCCAAAAACUUUUAGGACCCAAUAGUGGAGACCCAAUGGACUAGCCAAAUAAAUAAGCCCAACCCAUUCGGCCCAAUAGGAGAAAUAUCAUGACCCAACAUUGCCCCCUAGUUUUUUUAUUAAACAGACUGUUUAAUAGGAAACUAUAAACGAUCUAUGAUAUGAAAAUUUUAAUAGGAUCAAAAGAGGCCCAAACUGACAUCUAUCAAGGCCCAAAUGGUAAAAAAUCAAAAUAAUAAAGUAGGUAGGUUGAAACCGGAAGCCCAAUACGAAAGACCCAAACUGAUAAAUAUCUAAGGCUGGAACCGGACACUACCCCUUCUAAUUCCUCAUCAUUACCAGAAAUUAAAUGUGCCGCCUUCGUAAUUCGUGCAACUGUCAAUAUAAAAAGUAAAAUUUCCCAAAAUUGACGAUUUUACCUGCCAAUUUGAAAUUCAGACGCCUGAGCUUUUGAUUUCUCCCCUCCAAACUCUCUUCUUCUCUGCAAAGUCUCGACAAUGGUGACCCUAAAUUCUAACCAGAGUUCUCCUCUCCGUGUAACCCCAAUCACAACUGUCCCACCUAGCCCUAACCCCAUUGAAGAAGCUUCGGGCCCAAACCUUAAGGCCUCGAGUCCAAGUAAGAAAUCCCUACCUCCGAAAUCUCUUCCUAACCUCUCUGAAUUUUUCAAGAACAAAGACCAAUAUCCCCAUGUCAACACUCCUUCUGCUGUUUCUGAGAUUGAGUUGCGAAAGAUUAAAGCUCGUUAUCAUAUCCCCGACACCCAUUUAAUAAGAGCCCCCAAGCCUGAUGAGAAGAUGUACCAACGUCCAGAUGGAUGGACGGCUGUUCCAGUGACCUUACUUGAAAAGGGGGUUCGUUUCUCUCUUCACAUUUUCUUGGUUACCCUCCUAGGGUUCAUUGGUGUUGGGUUCGGCCAACUGGUUCCAAACUCAUACAUCCACAUCUUAACGUUCAUAGCUUUCUGCCAUGAAUUAGGCGUCGAACCCACCCUUGAUUUCUUCUUUACCAUUUACAGGGUUGCCCAGUCUAGAGAGAAAGGGUUUAAGGUUUUAGGCAAACAAGCACCGAAGGCGGGUGAAAAGUUCGAGAGGCGUUCUUUGAUAAACACUCUUUCGAGCAAUAGGGGAUGGCACGAGAAAUGGUUUUUUGUCAAAGGACCUGAAAUUGCCUUAUUAUCGAACUGGGCUACUGACGAAAAAGUGUCUGCAAAUUUUGGCGAUAUCUCUGACGAAAGAGUGAACGAGAUGAUAGAGCUUUUUGGGAAUUUCCCACUAGAAGAAUGGAAACAUGGACUUCUCUCCAAACAGGCAUGGCUUUAUGAUCAUAAGCGUAAGUACCGAACUACUUUUGUGCAUAUUUCUGCUAAAUCUUUAAUAACAUUGGCCUUGAUUUGUCGUUGCAUAAUCUUUGCAGUGUCUUUGAUUAAAUUAAACUCUUCAGAGGUAAAAGAGUUUGAAGACUUUUUGGCUGGGAAGACUACGGAAACAAAUGAGGAGAUCCGAACAGAAGAAUCCCCUCAAGUCAAUCCUCCCACUACUGAAACUUCCACCGUCGAUCCUCAAAUUAACAAACCACAAAUCGAUGAGCCCAUUCCACCCGAAGAAUCCCUCAAGCCCCAGCGAAGAAAGAGAGCUGCUAGGAGAUCCAGAUCCACUCGCCCAGAAACAGACCCUGAAAUAGAUCCGAAAGCGAACCCAGAGGAAAACCCUUCAUCUGCACCCACUCUCACACCUCUUGAACCUACUCCAACCAGGGGAAGUCUGUUUGACAUACCACUUCACGAACGGGCAAAAGUCCUUCAUAUCAAGAAAUUGAGGACCAAAAUCACCCCCUUAACUACUGAUGACCUCCGAGUUCCUUCCUCUUCGACCGACAUUCCUCCAACCUUCCCCACUGAAAUUCAAUUGUCAGAUGACAACGAGCCGAUCGAGCCAACCCCCACACUCUCUCACAAAAGGAAGCAACGAUCAGAUAGUCACCCAGGCUCAUCUUCUGUCCCUUCACCGAUUCGUGACCCUAUUCCUGCUCGAUCACCUUCCCCCGAAAACAUAUAUAUGGAUCCAUCACCAUCUCAUGAUCAAACCAUGCCCUCCUCCACAAGGCGUCAUCAGCUUGGCAAUCUCUUCAUCAAUGAUCCUUUGACGCUCAGGUGCAAAGAUCUGCCUUUUUUGCCGAACUGGCUUCUUUGAUAGGUCUACAUCGAGUCUGUGCUCAGCAAUCUUCCGGCUAACUCCAGGCAUAUCCUGAGGUUCCCAUGCAAAGAUAUCCGCAUAACAGCGAAGAAGUUCCAUAAGGUUUGUCCGAAAAGGUUCCGACAAACCUGAACCUAUCUUCACUGUUUUGCCCUUCUUCCCAAGGAUAAGCUCGAUCUCCUCUGUCUCUACUGCUGGCAUGACCAAUGGCUCUGAACUGCUUUCAGUGAAUGGCUCGAUCUCUAUCGCCAUGGUCUGCUUUUGCUUGCUGACCCCUACUCCCGUGGCAAUCACGGAAUUCCUAUAACAUCGUUUGGCCAGGUCUAAGUCCCCUGCUACCUUUCCAACUCCAUGGGCCAUGGGGAACUUAAUUUUAAAAUGGGGGAUGGAAGUCACUGCUUGGAGAGCAGUCAAGGUAGGUGGUCCCAGUAUGGCGUUGUAGGCCGAAUCUACAUGCACAACACAAAAUUUACAUGUUAUUUCUACCUAUUGUGGAGCAGUACCGAAGAUAACCGGUAGCUCAAUAGUUCUUGCCACUUUGACUGGAUCGUUGCUAAAGCCAUAUAGGGGAGCCUCCUGUCCAACCUCCAUCUUUCGCUUAUCAAGAUGCAUCCUCUGAUAGGCAUGUGCAUACAGAAUAUCCACAGAAGACCCGUUGUCUAUCAUCAUUCGCUUCAUAUCAACCGAACUCACUUGUGCUGUAAUCACCAAAGCUCCUUCAUGGGGUUCGAUGGGCUCCGAAGGAUAAUCUGCAUCACUGAAGGAUAUAACUGUCCCUGGAAACGGUCUAUCGAUCUUCGGGAGAGCACCCGCCACGGACAUGACCGAAUCCAGAUAUCCCCUCCUCUUCUUCCCCACCAGCUUCCCUGCUGUCCCACCGGUUAUUACAUUAACGACGUGCCUUGGUGGUGUUGUUGAAGCAGUUUGGACGGGUGGAACCGUUUGAAUCGUCUGAACAGUAUGGUCAACAUUCUGCUGAUCUUGUUGGUCCCUCCCGGCCACAUAUUGAACCAGUAAACCGCUUUGAACCUUCCUCUCCACAAAAUCUUUCAAAUUGCAACACUCAUUAAUGUCAUGACCUACAGCUUGAUGAUAGCCACAAUAUUUUCGAGCAUUGCCUUGUCCUGGCUUAUAGUUAUCACGAGGUGGUUCAAAGAACGGUUGGCCCCUGAUAUGAUCCAAAAUCACCGACCUAUCCGUAUUCAGUUUGGUGUAAACCUUGUUUACCUUCGGGGUGGGAGCAAGUGGGCGACUACUCCCCUGUCGCCAUGUGUUGUUAUACUUCUUCGAGCUGCCCUCUGGCUGAUCAUUAUACCCUCCUACCUUCUUCUGAUCGCCUUCAGCCUUAGGAGUAUCUACCUCCUUCAUUCGAUCCGAAGAAGGACGUUUUAGGCUAUUCAUAGCCUCCUCCACCACAAUGUAGCCUUUUGUUUUGUCAAAAACUCCGGCCAAGCUCUUCGGAUGGUGAAACAUCAGCUUCUUCACCAACUUUUCGGACUUCACUAGAUCUAGCCCGUUCUGAAACAACCCUACAGCCUGAAGAUCAUUUAGGUCGGACACUUGGCCAACGGCUUCUCUGAACCUCUUCACAUACUGGCCCAAGGACUCAUUGGUAAACUGUCGGACCUGUGCUAAAGAACCCGUAGGCUUCCCUCUUCUUCGAUUGCUCCCAAAACGAUCAUGGAAUUUGUCACACAGCUCGGACCAUGACGAGACCGAGUCCGCAGGUAAAGUUCCCAUCCACUGCCUUGCAUCCUUCCUUAAUGUUGUAACAAACGUAUGACACUUGACAGCAUCGGUAAAAUCAUAAUAAUCCAUCAGCCGAUCGAACGUCUAGCUAUGGUCAUAAAGGUCUCCAGACCCAUCGUAACUCUCCAUAUGAGACAACUUCUUGGUGGUGUCUGCCUUCUCCUUAAGAAUGUCCGAGGAAAAAGGGGACGCCUUCUUUUCCGGAGUAUCUUUCACCUGUUGAACCUCAGCCAACUACUUCCAGAGCUCCUUCAACUCCUUCACCAAGAAGUCCACACUUUCUGGCUGCGAGGAGAUCUCUUUCUCCUGAAUAACCUUCUGCUUCUGAGUGGAUCGACCUCUUUUGUCUGAUCCCACUGCCUUUGAUAGGCUUCUGGACUUACUUCGGCGCGUGGCCCUGUCAUCGCAGUGAGAGUGCUCAUGACGCUACUCUCCCCUUCUACUAUCUGGCACGAUCUCCCUCGACCUACUCCUAUGUCUGCCACCAUCUCGACCUCGAGAACCAACGACAAUAAGUGCCCUCUUCGAUGCCUCAGGAGUUCUGUUCCUCGAUCUCCUUCGGUCAUGAGAACGGCCUUGAGACAUAUGCACGGAAUGUUCCGGCUCCUUCCCCUCUCGCCGUUGUACCUCCUUAUACCUGCUACGCCUCUCGGACUGGACAUAAGUAGAUGCCUCGUCUUUCAGAUCGGUCAUCCGAAGCAUGUGCACAGCUAUAUCUUCCCUCUGCUUCAGAAAGACCCCUAAAGCUUUAUCUGCCUCCUUUGCCAUCUUCGCCAACUUGGCAGUUUUGUCAUCUCGACCACUUCGGUGGUGAGUUUUAGGUGGAGAACCCUCCACAUGCCUCCGAUCCUGAUCACGGUCUUUAUCAUCAGCAAACACCAACCUCCGUCUGGCUCCGCCAUGAGCUCUCGGACGAGAACCCUUGGAAUCACGUUUGGAAGCAGUGCUCUCACUCUCAUGAGCACUCUUUGAAGGACCCAGACGAUCCUUAACAGAAAUGUGUUGGACAUAUGAGCUUACAGCCCUCGGCUGUCCUUCCGGUGUAUCUGCUCUACUCCUCACCAUCUUCCGAAGUAAAAUAAAUGAAAACUUGUGAUUGAAAAACUCAAUGACACUAGAACACAACCCUCCUUCUAGCGCCAAUGUUAACGCCAAGAUCUUUCCACGCGCCUCAAUCACGUAACACGCGUCUAUAUCCUGCACAGUAAACACGACAACACCAAAAGCUUGACGGCUUCGACCGUCGAGGGAUAGCUCCGGCAUGAGAGUCAGUACAGGCGAUCACAAGGUUAACAAUGGAGGAUAAAAUCUCUAGUGUAUUGAGAGAGAGAAUUAUUAGUUGUUAGUGUGUAUACCUUUUUCUUGAAGACUUCCUUGCUAUGUUAUGCUCUCUAGCCCGGUUUACCGUGCCACCCACUACCUCUAACACAGCCCCCUGAUCUGAUGAUUUCUGCCGACUAGGUACAAUCCACCCACUACUUGUAGUCACUGUUUGUUACCGCCGACCGUCCAAGAAUUCCAUCCACAUUAAUACAUGACAGAUACAAUAGUCAACUGUCAUAUUUUUUUUUCAUUACCGGUUAAAGAUGAAGAUAUUUAAUAUUUAAUGGGUCAGCCCACUAAUCCGACUCGGUCUUAUAAGGACUCGACAGGAAUAAGAUGGUGACUAAGUCUAAUAACUUUUAAGACCCAAUAGUAAUGGACUAACUAAAUAAAUAAGCUCAACUUAUUCGGUCCAAUAGGAGAAAUAUCAUAACCCAACAAUAGAGAAAUGAGGAAAGCUAAGGCUCAGAUUUGUAAUAUAUCAGGCAAGAGGGUGACACCGCCAUGGCUGCAACCAACAGUUGCAUGAGAGAGAAAAAAGACUAGACUAACCAAUCGAUCUCUCGCAUACCCUCCGAGUCACUCCGCCAAGAUACGGGUCACAUUCUCUCAAUGCCCGAUUUAACUCAGAAAAUUGAUUCAUCAUCACAGCCUCUUGCGUAGUUUUUCUUUUCUUUUCUUUUUGACAAGCCUAUGGCUCUUAUAUAGUAGUUCUAGCAGCAGCAGCAGCACAAUAAUAGAAGUUGAGCUGAAUGGGUUUGAAUGAAGAAGAAUAAACACAGGUAGAAAUAUCAGUUUCCUAUAUAUAUACACACACACUCUAGAGGGUUGUUGAUUUGGGUAACUGGAAAAUGAAAUCAUAGGCCCAAUAAAUGAAUGAUCGGAAGAAGAUGAUUCAAUUUAACAGAGAGGGGCAACCACCCUUAGAAACUUCCCUUCUUUCUGGAGCCUCAUUCUUUUUUUCUGAGUUUUUCAUGCCCUAAUUUUUGCCCCCUACAACUCUGGUUAAAUAAGUGCCCUGUUUUGUUUUUCUUCCAUAAGGGUACUUUCGUCACUACAUUUUUGAGCGCUUGGGUAUCUCAGUAUUCUGUAACAC
rnacentral:lncRNA from 1 species